rnacentral:lncRNA from 1 species
AGCGCCCAUCGUGAAGACCACAGUUUCCUGUCGCGUGGAUGUGUUUCCUCUCUGGCCAUUGCCAUCCGCCCAAAUCUACAGACAUCCCGCAUGUUCCCGGGCUCGUCUCCCCAAUACAGGGCACCAAGGCUGUAGACUGCGCAGCCCUCCUGGAGACAGAUGGAAGCUCCUUGGGUCGACAGAUUACAGCUUCUGGAACCCCCUACUCCCUUCAACUCCGAGAUGGACACCCACUGUCCAGGGAGAGGAUGCCUGGAAAUAACAGCUGGGAUCUACAGUGGCCAAAGAGUUGUCUCCGUCUUGCUACAUCGACAAACUGGUGCUCCUGAGUGAGGAUUGUGCCCUGGGAUGGGGGAUUCAGUUUCUUCAUUUAUAGUUGGAAGUGGGUGAAGGUGAGUGCCAGGAGCGACGGUACACUCCAGAGUGCUGUGCCCUGAUGGGCCUUUGAGUGGCCAGUGCAGUGGAUCAUCAGCCCUGUCUCCCAAGAGCUCCAGUCCCUUCUCCGGAGAGGAAGUGGGUCCACUGGCAGCUCAGGAGGCCAUAGCAGAUUGUGGGGCUCUGUGCAGUUGAUGUUAGUUAACCACUGGAUCCACGUGUUCACCGUGGCUUGCGCCCCUGCAUCCGAAAGUGAUCUUGGCUGCCGUGUCCUGGUCAUUGGUAGUGCAGGGAAAGGAUGCGGAAAGACGGGCUCCGAGCUCGGGGCGUCUGGCCUGGAGCUUUCCUACACUUGUGUCUUGCUCUGCAGCCUUACGGAAGUGUGGGUGGCGCUUUCUGGAAGCUGCACAAGUCAGUGCUGGGUCUUCGCAACUUGGUGUUCUGUUUCCAGAAACUUGGGGUGUUUGCAUGUGCUAGGUCAGCACAGAUUUCCAAAGGAUCUCUAGGAUUGUCACGUGUGCUCAACAGUCCUCCUCGGCUUUCCAGAAGAGGCUGGAACAGGGCCCUUGAAGAUGUUUGUGGACAUCAGAGGGCCAAAGACGACACAAAGUGAAACUGGAGACACCGCCCCCCCUUGGCAUCAUGAAACUGCCGAUGUUACUGGCUCAUGCAUGGGAGACACCAGCAUACAAAGUCUUGACACCAACACCUCAGAGGGCUGUGUUCUGUCCCCGUGACCAUCAUCUAGUGCCUGGAAAGACUAGUGACAAGAACUUGUUGCCAACUUCCUAUUACCUCCCUAACAGUUGUGCAAUAAACCCCAUAGGUUAAUUCA